rnacentral:rRNA from 1 species
GACGAACGCUGGCGGCGUGCUUAACACAUGCCAGUCGAACGGAAAGGCCCUGCUUUUGUGGGGUGCUCGAGUGGCGAACGGGUGAGUAACACGUGAGUAACCUGCCCUUGACUUUGGGAUAACUUCAGGAAACUAGGGCUAAUACCGGAUAGGAGCUCCUGCUGCAUGGUGGGGGUUGGAAAGUUUCGGCGGUUGGGGAUGGACUCGCGGCUUAUCAGCUUGUUGGUGGGGUAGUGGCUUACCAAGGCUUUGACGGGUAGCCGGCCUGAGAGGGUGACCGGCCACAUUGGGAUUGAGAUACGGCCCAGACUCCUACGGGAGGCAGCAGUGGGGAAUAUUGCACAAUGGGCGGAAGCCUGAUGCAGCAACGCCGCGUGCGGGAUGACGGCCUUCGGGUUGUAAACCGCUUUCGCCUGUGACGAAGCGUGAGUGACGGUAAUGGGUAAAGAAGCACCGGCUAACUACGUG